GAUGAACGCUGGCGGCGUGCCUAAUACAUGCAAGUCGAGCGAACAGACGAGAGUGCUUGCACUCUCUGACGUUAGCGGCGGACGGGUGAGUAACACGUGGGUAACCUACCUAUAAGACUGGGAUAACUUCGGGAAACCGGAGCUAAUACCGGAUAAUAUUUAGCUUCGCAUGAAGCAAUAGUGAAAGACGGUUCUGCUGUCACUUAUAGAUGGACCCGCAGUGUAUUAGCUAGUUGGUGAGGUAACGGCUCACCAAGGCAACGAUACAUAGCCGACCUGAGAGGGUGAUCGGCCACACUGGGACUGAGACACGGCCCAGACCCCUACGGGAGGCAGCAGUAGGGAAUCUUCCGCAAUGGACGAAAGUCUGACGGAGCAAUGCCGCGUGAGUGAAGAAGGUUUUCGGAUCGUAAAACUCUGUUGUAAGGGAAGAACAAGUACGUUAGUAACUGAACGUACCUUGACGGUACCUUACCAGAAAGCCACGGCUAACUACGUG
rnacentral:rRNA from 1 species